NNNNNNNNNNNNNNNNNNNNNNNNNNNNNNNNCCGAGGUUAGGCUUUGAACAAUAGGGGUGGGUAGGGGCGGGGCUUAAUGUGUACAGGUGACAGCCAGCCCCAAACUAGAAUUCCUUGUUACUUUUCCAGGGCUGGAUUUAGGACUUAGUAAGAGAACUGGAUCAUAGCUCUCCAAGAUAGGGACCAAGAAGUUGGGGACAGAGUCUGUUACUUGGAUGGAGACACUGGACCAAAAUAAGAGGUGGAGCUCAAAAAAGCGUUGGCGCUACUAGACGGAAAAGGCAGGCUUGGAAGGCCGAGAACAGGAACUUGUCUGCUGGCCCUAACCCUAGCCCCACCGGGCCCACACCUUGACUGGUUGUCCGUUUCUCGUCCGUAAGAGGCUUUGGUCGUCCGCCUCGAUGCCAAAAGCCAUAAAGGGCCCCGUGGCGAUGUCCCCCCAGUAUCCUUGCGCAGCCACGCGUUCCCCACGCUGGAAAAAACCAAAGCCACCCAAAUUUCAAGCAAAUUCCACUUCCCCCCAACAAAGGUGGGCAGCUGUGGCACCUUGAGCAGCCGAAGGCUAAGCCAGGGUAGUUGCUCCUCCAGGCGAUCAGGCUCCAGGACCAGAUUAGCCAGGUGGCUAGCCUGAGCGCGCAGGAAGGCAGCUACCGAGGGUCGCAGCAGCGCGUUCCCCCACAGCUCCAGGAAGGUCUCACUCCGCUCUGGAGGAGGGAAGGAUGAAACAGGGAGGGAGACUUGACAAACUGCACCAAUCCAGGAACUGCAACCACCACCC
ensembl:antisense Gm15873 predicted gene 15873